UGCUUGACGACAAUAGCGUGUAGGAACCACCUGAUUCCAUCUCGAACUCAGAAGUGAAACUGCUCAGCGCCGAUGGUAGUGUGGGGUCUCCCCAUGUGAGAGUAGGACAUCGUCAAGC
rnacentral:rRNA from 1 species